rnacentral:rRNA from 1 species
AUUGAACGCUGGCGGCAGGCCUAACACAUGCAAGUCGAGCGGAUGAAGGGAGCUUGCUCCUGGAUUCAGCGGCGGACGGGUGAGUAAUGCCUAGGAAUCUGCCUGGUAGUGGGGGAUAACGUCCGGAAACGGGCGCUAAUACCGCAUACGUCAUGAGGGAGAAAGUGGGGGAUCUUCGGACCUCACGCGAUCAGAUGAGCCUAGGUCGGAUUAGCUAGUUGGUGGGGUAAAGGCCUACCAAGGCGACGAUCCGUAACUGGUCUGAGAGGAUGAUCAGUCACACUGGAACUGAGACACGGUCCAGACUCCUACGGGAGGCAGCAGUGGGGAAUAUUGGGCAAUGGGCGAAAGCCUGAUCCAGCCAUGCCGCGUGUGUGAAGAAGGUCUUCGGAUUGUAAAGCACUUUAAGUUGGGAGGAAGAGCAGUAAGUUAAUACCUUGCUGUUUUGACGUUACCAACAGAAUAAGCACCGGCUAACUUCGUG